rnacentral:rRNA from 1 species
GGUAAUGCCGUUCAGUUACAUGGCAUUGCUAACAGAGGGUUCGAUCUGGCUCAGAUUGAACGCUGGCGGGAUAACUUUACACGCUACAAGUCCGAACGGCAGCACGGACUUCGGUCUGGUGGCGAGUGGCGAACGGGUGGUAAUGUAUCCGGAACGUGCCUAGUAGCGGGGGAUAACUACGCGAAAGCGUAGCUAAUACCGCAUACGCCCUUCGGGGGAAAGCGGGGGACCUUCGGGCCUCGCACUAUUAGGAAGCGGCCGAUAUCGGAUUGGCGAGAUUGGUGGGGUAACGGCUCGCAAGGCGACGAUCCGUAGCUGGUUUGAGGACGACCAGCCACGCAGGACUGAGACACGGCCCAGACUCCUACGGGAGGCAGCAGUGGGGAAUUUUGGACAAUGGAAACCCUGAUCCAGCCAUCCCGCGUGUGCGAUGAAGGCCUUCGGGUUGUAAAGCACUUUUGGCAGGAAAGAAACGGCACGGGAUAUGCCCCGUGCAACUGACGGUACCUGCAGAAUAAGCACCGGCUAACUACGUGCCAGCAGCCGCGGUAAUACGUAAGGGUGCAAGCGUUAAUCGGAAUUACUGGGCGUAAAGCGUGCGCAGGCGGUUCGGAAAGAAGAUGUGAAAUCUAAGAGCUUAACUUUGGAACUGCAUUUUUAACUACCGAGCUAGAGUGUGUCAGAGGGAGGUGGAAUUCCGCGUGUAGCAGUGAAAUGCGUAGAUAUGCGGAGGAACACCGAUGGCGAAGGCAGCCUCCUGGGAUAACACUGACGCUCAUGCACGAAAGCGUGGGGGCAAACAGGAUUAGAUACCCUGGUAGUCCACGCCUAAACGAUGUCAACUAGCUGUUGGGGCCUUCGGGCCUUGGUAGCGCAACUAACGCGUGAAGUUGACCGCCUGGGGAAGUACGGUCGCAAGAUUAAAACUCAAAGGAAUUGACGGGGACCCGCACAAGCGGUGGAUGAUGUGGAUUAAUUCGAUGCAACGCGAAAAAUGCCUACCGCCGACAUGUCUGGAAUCCCGAAGAGAUUUGGGAGUGCUCGCAAGACCGGAACACAGGUGCUGCAUGGCUGUCGUCAGCUCGUGUCGUGAGAUGUUGGGUUAAGUCCCGCAACGAGCGCAACCCUUGUCAUUAGUUGCUACGAAAGAGGGCACUCUAAUGAGACUGCCGGUGACAAACCGGAGGAGGGUGGGGAUGACGUCAAGUCCUCGCGACCCUUAUGGGUAGGGCUUCACACGUCAUACAAUGGUCGGGACAGAGGGUCGCCAACCCACCAGGGGGAGCCAAUCCCAGAAACCCGAUCGUAGUCCGGAUCGCAGUCUGCAACUCGACUGCGUGAAGUCGGAAUCGCUAGUAAUCGCGGAUCAGCAUGUCGCGGUGAAUACGUUCCCGGGUCUUGUACACACCGCCCGUCACACCAUAGAAUUAGGUUUUACCAGAAGUAGUUAGCCUAACCGUAAGGAGGGCGAUUACCACGGUAGGAUUCAUGACUGGGGUGAAGUCGUAACAAAGGUAA